AUGGAACCUUCUAGAAGGUUCUCAAAACUGGUAAAAACUAGAGAAGUUUCUAAAAUUGGAUUCAUAUUGUUGCUGCUGGGUCGGCCCAUCUCUCGCUCAGUUGAUCGACUCUAUGAAUCCUCGACAAUUUUGACGCAAAAUGCGUCAAAUAGGAUUACCAGAAUAGACACCACUAGGUCGGACUUGUUCCAAGGACAACUCCAAUGGGCCAAUCCAAACAGACGUGAAAUAUGUCCGCUUUUUGUUUAUUUGGGCCGCCAAGAGGGCAGGCAUUCGCCACUUGUCCACCCUUCCUUGGGUAGUGAACCCAACGGGGCGACACUUUUGGUCCAGGUCGUUCGUUUUUUACCAUCAAACAUAGGAAAUGGAUUUAGCAAAAUAAACCUAGCAUUUUUUUUGCAUAGUACCACAUCCAAUGCUGCUACACAACAUUGCACCAAAAGAAUCGCAUGA
rnacentral:rRNA from 1 species